rnacentral:rRNA from 1 species
GACGAACGCUGGCGGCGUGCUUAACACAUGCAAGUCGAGCGGUAAGGCCCUUUCGGGGGUACACGAGCGGCGAACGGGUGAGUAACACGUGGGUGACCUGCCCUCAGCUCUGGGAUAAGCCUGGGAAACCGGGUCUAAUACCGGAUAUGACUCCAUGACGCAUGUUGUGGGGUGGAAAGCCUUGUGCGGCUGAGGAUGGGCCCGCGGCCUAUCAGCUUGUUGGUGGGGUGAGGCCUACCAAGGCGACGACGGGUAGCCGGCCUGAGAGGGCGACCGGCCACACUGGGACUGAGACACGGCCCAGACUCCUACGGGAGGCAGCAGUGGGGAAUCUUGCGCAAUGGGCGAAAGCCUGACGCAGCGACGCCGCGUGAGGGAUGACGGCUCGG